CAAAAAAGAGGAUCAGCGCGUGGCGAGGGAGGAGCAGUGCUUCGUUGACCCAUCCCCGUUCGUCAGGUCGCCCCUCAUGGUGAGUGCUGCCACUUCCAGGUCUUCUUUCUCUUCCUCCUCUCAACUGCUCCUCCCCAUCUCCACUCCACUAGCCCCCUACUACUCGCUGACCCCCUGAGCAACUGCUCGAGUCCCCUCCCAAUCUAGUCCCCAAAUUUCUCAAAUCAAGCAGUCGCAAGUGAGUAUAAGUGGAUCUGCAGGCUGUAGCUGCAAAUUCGUCAAGGGGGAGCAACGAUUCGAAAAGCUACUGUAACAGACUAGCUCAAACGGCUGCCGAAUUACAAGGAAAAUACCCACACCUUCAACAGGCCUACUGGUCGUGCCAUCCCACGACGCCUAGUUAAGAUCGGGCGACUACUUUGCCCGCACGGACCGCAGCAACGAUCAUGCCAUCCCAUGACCUGCUCAACGUACCGGCUCCUUCCAAGGGAUUUUGUGAAAAUGUCUGCAACUUGGUCUCCGGUUCUGACAUGGACGAUAUCCACUCGCCCCAGCUCAACACACUCUUUGCUAUAGUGAUACCUGAGGUCAAUGUGUUUACUCCUCUCAUGAUGCACCGGAUUUUUGCUCAGUUCGAUUGCAGAUCUGUUGUCAACAUGCAGCUUGACCUUCUGAACUUUUGUACCCAGCAUUUCAGCAAGCAACCUGCUCAGCCACACAGCCUGACUUGCUGCUGUCGCUGCUGCUAUGUACUCGGCCUCGCAUGAAGAUUUUGCAACCACCUUCUACUUCUGGGAGGACCAAGUAAUAGCACCUGAACCGGGGAAAAACACAAUACCCGUGGUACUUUUCCUGUCAUCAAGAUCUCCUACGUGGUCACUAUCACUGAAACCAAUGAGAAUAGUUUCCCCUUCUGCUCUGUAGAUACACCCAAGAUUCAGGGUGCCCUUGAUGUACCUCAGAACUUGCUUGAUGAAACGGCUUAGAAGCCCCAUAACAUAUGUAAUGUCAGGUCGUGUGUUUACCAGGUACCGCAGGCUCCCAAUGAGACUUCGACGAUAUUCAGUUGCAUCCACUGCUCCUCCCUGGUUCUUCCUCAACUUCAGGCGAUUUUCC
rnacentral:rRNA from 1 species